GAGCGAGUAAAGGAGAGAGAGAGAGAGAGAGACAUAGAGUGUGUUCCCUUCAGUGGACAGAUUUAUUUUCGGUCUCUUCAUACAUUUAUUUUCUUGCUGCAGAACAGACGCUGCUCUCAAAGGACACAGGGGGUGAUGUGACUCAGGACCACUCCGAAACAGUGACUUAAAUCCAUCCUCUGAGCUGCAGACCACCAUCAGCACCAGCAACAGCAGCAGCAGCAGCAGGAGAGGAGACAGAAACCCCGGUUACGCUGGAGUAAUGCAUGUCAACAUUUACACAACACUGACCUCUAGUGGUUAGUACGUUCACCUGCGUUACAGGCGCAAUAAAAGCAAUUGAUGUGAAAAGGACGAAUAGAAAGUGUCAGAGGAAGAAACAAACAUGCGUGACGUAAACAUUUUUUUCUGAAUAAACAUUUUUCAUUAGGUUAUAUGUCAAGUGUGGUUGUAAGAGGUAAACCGACGUCAUAUAUGCUCGUACGCCCCCUGCUGCAGGGGGACUGAUCAUGGCAGAAACAACAGUUUGCAGCAGUACCAGUUAAAACAGACCAGCAUCAGUUCAAAUAUGUUGUGAUGUGUUAAUGUAAUGUUAGCUGCAUAGUUACACUGUUAUACUGACUGACAGUUUAUGUUGUAAAACACUCACUCGCACCAGAGUCCGUAGAGAAAAUCAUUAAUUUGGGAUUUUUGAUCCACAGCUAUUGAAAUACGUUAUUCUGUCAACUCUAAAUCCUGAGUUAGAGUGACCACACGAGGCAGUAGUGUGCCAGCAGGUCCAGUGGACAACUUUUUAAUUUAACUUUAUUUGUAGAUGAACAUGUUUAUGUACAACAUGUUCAUCUCCCCCCGCACUGAAGCUUCUGUUUUCUAAAUCAAAGUGUUUUUUCUUAUCUUUUGUGUUCCUUCCAUCAGGUGUCUCGUCCGUGUGUAGGAGAGAGAACAAACCAUUCAACAACGUCGAAAGUUGCCUAUUUCAAGAGGAAGUAUGCGGAGGAGGAGGAUGUACACCGAGGCCUAUGUGGAUAUUUUCAAAAACACCUGAUACAACAGCAGGAGCGCAGCUGCAUCCUGAAGCUCUCCUUGGAGAAGCUAAGGUUCCUGGACGAUCCUGAGGCCUACCUGCGACGCUCCGUCCUCAUCAACAACCUGCUGAGAAAGAUCCAUCAUGAGGAGGAGAAAACGGAGGAGGAGAAGGAUGAGCAGGAAGAGGAGCAGAGAGAAGGAGAACACAUAGGAGAAAGUGGGAAGAGGAAGCUAUCGUACCCUGACAGGAAGAGAGUGAAGAUUCUGGUAACAGAAUGCUGUUCUCAGGCAGCGUUGGGUCUGGAGAAGCUGCAGUGUUACCACCUGCUCUCCUGUUACCCUGCAUCUGGAUGUCUGUUCAGUCCGGCACUGAGUUCCAGGAGCCACCAGGUCCUUCUUUACGACCUGGACGACAACGGCUGACUCUGGCCUUUUUGUCACAAAGCACAAAGCAGGUGAUCAGCAGGUGAUCUGUUGCUGUGGCUGAUGGUGUUUCCACUGGAGCUGCUGUUUGUGUUUAGCUCCACGUUUGAGGAUCAACAGGAUGUUGUUGCCUCUGUUCACCACCGUAUCAGAAGAAACACAAGAAGAUGAAACAUAUAUACAUAUAUAUAAAGACAGGAUUCCCUUCUUCUGCCUCAGGACCAACAGGGCUUCUGCUGUUGACGUCAAAACUGUCUUUGCUGUCACUUAAAGGUCCAGUGUGUGAAAUGUAUUUAUUUAUUGACCUUUAUUUAACCCGCGGGUCCCAUUGAGAUUAAAAACAUCUUUUGCAGCCGAAACCUGGCUGAGGUAGCAGCCAAUCGAACACAUCAUAACACAAAACAAUACCUAUACAGAAAAAACAACACACCGCAAAUAUUAAAAUGUCUCUCAAGAAAAACACAAAUGUGUCCAGGUACAAGUGUUUCAAAUUUUAGAUCUUUUUGGAAAUGAAUAGAAUACUGAAAACAGUUCUCAGGUUUAGGAUAAGAAGGUUUUUAAUUUUUUUCAGUAGUGGUGAAACAGGCAAAACCAACAGCCAGGUUCCAAUGAUUGUAAUGUUUAAAAAUAAGUAAAACUAUAACUUUGACUUCAGUAAGGACAUGAAAUGAUGAAAAGUUUUAAAACAGUAAGAACUGUUUGUUUUUUUGUUUUUACUGCUGGCUUAAACAAUGGUUCUACAUAAACUUUAUUUAUGCCUUUAGUUAUCGCAGUCAAUUUGAACGCACCUGAAAGUCACGUGGCACUGACGUACACAGGAAAUUGAUUCUCUCUUCUGCCCAGAUACAGAAUGUCUGUUUGGAGACUGACCAAGGAGAGCAAAGUUGACGAGACAGUAAGACAUUUUACCUCCUCAGCUACAGUUGGUGUCGUUGGUUUUAGGUGUACGGUGGUAUCUGACAUUUACCCAGUUCAGCGCUCUGUUUGUCAGCACACUCACUCAGUGUUACCAGUGGUCUAAGGAUUAGUCGUGCUUGUUUCAACAGUGUUUUUUUUAAAGUUUAUGUCUAGGAAUGUAGAUUAAAUGCAAUUUAAAAAAACAACAACCUCUUCAUUAGGCCAAAAACUGAGCGGACAGUAGCUUUGCGUUGCUAACAAAUAGCUCUACUGUAUAAAUAUGUGAAGGAGAAAAAAUGUCAAGGUGACGGCAGAGUUGUUGAAGAAUUUCCGCCUUUUUCGUUGGGAACAGAGGGGUGAGCAGAUGAGUCCUAAAAAGUUUUUAUUUUUUAUUUUGGUAAUGUCCCCGUUAGAUCUCACUAACUCUGAGACACCAGACUCAGUACUUGUGACAGACUCUGAGUGUCAUUUUAUUUUUGCUGUUGCUGUUUGUGCCGUUUGUUUAUGUUUUGACCUUUAUUUUGAAGGUUGCUCACGUCAAACGAAACAUUUUCAGGGAUUUACAGGCGAUUGUCGAUGCACAUAGACUAUCGUGGAGAACCUGUGCUAAAAACGCUUCUUGUACCUUUAAAAGCUACGCGUUUUACAAAAAGUGUGCGUAACAUUUGGCUACACUGUGAAAUGUUACAAUUUUGCCAUGAUUCUGUUGCUCUGAUAUGACUGUCUCUGACGUUGCCUGUCAGAAAACUCGACUGUUUCGGUGUCGCUGUUUGACGUCCGGAUCGUGCUGCCCUCUGCUGGACAAAACAAAAUGAUUUUCAUGUCUACCUUACUAAAAACCUUCGAACAAAUCUGGAAACCUCAUGAUAAUCAUGUUAGUGUAUGUAAAAAUUGAACAAAUUAAAAUACAUUUGAAUGCAAUGAUAAGAGGGCAUUAAGAACAAAGUAAACAGUACUUCAAAACUUUUCUCAAAUGCCCCAUAUGUGUGUACAACAUUAUAUUGUGUUGUAAACCUGUCAAUAUUCUUUGUUCUGAACUGAAAAGAAAAUUGUAAAUGUAUCUUGAGCUUUUUUCUGCAACCAAAUGUUGAUUUUUUUUUAUUAUUGGGAAGGACUUUCAGCUUUCUGUGUCUGUAACUGUUUAAAAGCUGAAUAUCAAAGAGCAGGAUGCCUUUAUUAUAUUCAAUUUUAUAUUUUCCUACUUUUGCUCUGCUUUUAAAGAUUUGCUAAAUUUAAAAAAGAAAAUAUUUUAUUAUUUCACUGACCUUAUUGGAUUUGAGUCGUUAAAGUGUAAUUCUUUCCUUUGUUAACCUACUUUAUUAAUGCAUCUCAAUAAUCAUCACUGCAGCUAAGAUAUUAAAAUAUAAAAUAUUCUAUUCAAAAUAAUAUUUUACAAGAAAAAAAUAUAUUUUGAUGAAGAUGCAUAUUCUCUAUUUAAAAAGCUAUUUUAAGAAGAAUAAAGGCAAUUUAAUUUCUUUCAUAUGAAUAAUAAUAAAAUCAAAUAAAUAACUAAAAUAAAGUAUGCAAUGAGAAAAUGUUUGAUGUAUUUCGUGUAUUUAUAAAAAUGGUUUACAUCAGUGGUCCCCAAUCCCCUGGCUGUGGACCGGCACCAGUCCGUAGGUCAAUUGGUACCAGGUUGCACAGAAAGAAUGCAUUACAUCAUUUCUGUUGUAUUUAUUAUGUGAUUCCGUCUGUGACUCACACUUGAUGCAUGUCAAGAUGCUUGCCUCGGUCAUGUCUUGCUUACAUCUGUUACCUUCUGGCCAGUACCACAUAAUACUAAUAAUACUAAUACUAAUAAUACUAAUAAUAAUACUCAGCUAAAUUGAAACUGCCAAGCUAGCAAAAUGAACAAUAAACAAACGUCUUUGGCACACAGUGGAAGAUGUGGUAAGUGUACAGUAUAUGCCAUAUUUCAAGAAGGGGGUCCCUUAGGUAUGGUUGCCUCCGACAGUCCAUCAGUGUUACAGAGGAUCUCUGAACCACCUCAUUGCUUCAUUCAUUUGUCAUGCAUCUAUGAAGGGACAUCCGUCUUUGGAUCAGAAGUGACAUACUGCAACAUUUAUUCUUCGGUCACCAAAAAUAGCCCAUGUUACCCAUGACAUCAUAUUUACUUAAAAGGGAGACCCUCAAAAGCCUUUGAUGUUUUUAAACUCGAGAACCUGUGAGUCAACCUUCGAACCCUACAAAACUAAUCCCAAAAAGUCAAGCACUCCAGGAAUAGAGGAAAACACAGAAAGGAAAUAAGCAUACGAACAAAAGCUAAAAGCGAAGCGACAAACCAAAAGCAUCAACGCUAGCUCUUGUUGAGUAUCUCGAUUUUUACAAGUUCAACAACUGCUUCUUUGACCCCAUUGAGAUGGCCAGAGCUAGAAGGAGCAGGAGCCGAUCCAGGAGCCGAUCCAGGAGCAGGAGGAGGUCUGGUAUGCGACGACGAAGGAGAGUGGGUCUUGCUGCCGCUCUCGCUGAUCCCGCUCUCGCAACUGUACUUGCAGCCCGACCACGCAGACGCAGGAGAACUCGUCGCUCAAAGUCCAGGAGACGCACUGUGAGACGAAGAAAGUCAAGGGCUAGGUCCACCAGGCGACGACGAAGGGCCAGGGUAACCACUAGGAGGCGCCGAAGGCGAAGCACUCGCCGAGGAGCAGCACGGAGGAGGAGGACUACUCUGAAGAGGAGGCGAAAGACCACUAG